CACCUCCCUCCCCUUCUUGCUCCUGUUUUUUCCAUGUGAAGAUGCCUGCCCCAGCUUUGCCUUCCACCAUGAGUAAAAGCUUCCCAAGUCCUCCCCAGAAGCAGAUGCUGGCGCUAUGCUUCUGGUACAGCCUGAAAAACCUUGAGCCAAUUAAACCUCAGUGAGCUCAAGAUGUCUUUGUUGAAACAGAACCUCCCGAAGUUACAGUAUUGGUUUUGGGGCUCCACACAGAGAACACAUCACGGAAGCUAUAAUUGAGGAAGACAAAGCUGUCAGGACGACACCAAGAGAGUUAGAAAGCCCAAGAGUGGAG
rnacentral:lncRNA from 10 species